UUCAACUUCUCUAACCAGGUUUCAGUGCUUACUGCAAUGUUAGGAGUCUGCUAGCAAUAUUAGAAGAUAAGGAGAAUGGAUUUAGCAUGCCUUCUUGCUACCCAAGAUGCAGUCCCUUCCCCUGAAGAAAACCAAAAAAUUUAAUUUUACAAGUUCAAGGUGCAUGAAGUGGGAUGAGGAAAGCUGUAAUGAAGGGGAGGAGCCCAAUGGGGAGUCCAGAGUAUCUUCUAUGAGGUGGAGAGCUGCCAUCAGUCUCCUGGAGUAGAGGAAAAUGGAUUCUGGAAGUGGCAAGACUCUGUCCUGUGUUCCAAGUAUUGUUUAUAGUAGGGGUCACAGUCUAGUCUCCAUGAAAGCUGAAUGCAAACAGUGCAGUUCUCUUCACUGGGUGAUGGCAAAUGGACCUUCACAGUCCACAGUAUUGUAAUGGUGCCUACCAUAACAGAGUCCCUAUCAGAAAAAGGAGGGAUAGAAGCUGAAGAUAGUAAAUGAAUAGUACUCUCUAACAACAGUCAGUCGCUUCCUGCAAUCAAAACUAUGCCAGCAUGUGGCCUGUUCAAAUAAAAAUUACUGGACCAGAGCCAAACACGAAAAAGUAAUUGAUAAUGUGUUUUUUCAGAACCCACCUAUCCAUCAAAUGUGUCACUCCUCCAUAAUACUUUAUUGCCCCUUCUGAAGAAAGAUCUUUAAAAUUCAUUGUGUGCACUUAAAAACAAAGUGUCCUUGUCCUGGUUUAUAAUGAUUCUCCCUUAGUCUGGGUUUGUUUUGUUAUUUAAUUACAUUCUCUUCUAUCAUGCAUUUUUGUACAGAUAGUUUCUGGAAAUUUCUGCCGCUUUUAAACAAAGAAUCUUUUGUGCUGUAUCAGCUUGCAUUUUCCUUGGUUUGUGUUGUGCUGGUGUCUUUUCACUGACUUCAGCGCUGGAGCAUUGUAGUCAUAGCCUCACUAAGUAGACUGUAACAAACAGAUUCAUUGGCCCUUUCUCUGUGCUGCAUCUUAUUAACUGAUCUGUGGGAAAUGCUCUUUACAUUGUUAAGGCAUAUGCGCUAAUACAAACAAUAAAUUAACCUUAACUGGAGGAAGCUUUGAGGCUUCUAAUACAGUAACCUAGCAGACACCAGACUUUAUAAAAGCUUUAUACCUACCAAAUUUCAUAGACAUCUUUGUUAAAAUGUACUGUACCUAUUUUCUACACCAAACUUUUACUAUUAUAUUUACCAAACAGAUAUUAUGAAUAAUGCUCUGUAAUUUCUUAAUACAAUAUAGCAAAGGAGAGAUAAAUACUAGAUUCAUUCAAUUGAAUUGAUAAAUUUCUUCUUCCCCAUAGUUAAAGAACAACAGUGAACACAGUUGUGGGAAGACUAUUACUCUGAAUUAGAGGGCAGUGUUCACAUCUAUUAUACGAGUUUUAUAGGGGCUGCUAAUGAUAACCCUCAAAUUACAGACUAAAUCCAGUUAAGAGGUCAAGUACUGUGGUGCUAAUUAAUUCAUAAAGAUGUGCUUUGGAUUCUAAUGUUUAGGCUGCUUUUUCAUAUUGCAGUGUUAGAGUUCACAAGUUGUGCACUGAGAAGAAUGUAGGUACUUGUGACAAUGCAGGAGUAACAGCAUCUUGAGCAGGCAGAGAUGAGGAUGUACAUGUUUCUGAUAAUGGAGAAGAACUAGGUGCAUACUUAACAAAGAGAGACAUCCCAGCCCCCUCAAAUGAAAUGUGCAUGGUCGCUGGCACCAGAAGGGAGGAGUUUGUACUCACACACUGUCUCUAACCCAUCCUUUCACAUUAGGGAACUCCUUAGCUAUAAAUUCAUACUAUGUUUCUAAAUGAAAAAGAAGUGCAUGCACCUCCCUGGCAAAUAAAGGCCUGAAGAGAAUAAAAAAGAAUUUCACAGCUCCUCCAUCUAGGACUGAUUAGCUUAAAUGCAAUUACCCCUGCCCAAAAUCCGAUUUGUCAAACAGGGUGUCUAGAUCUUUGAAUCAGAUACCAAAGCAAAGUAGGGAGCAAACAAAUGGAUAUUAGAAGCCUGUUACCAGCUCCACCACUCACUGCCUGGCUUUUGACAAUUUUCAGUUUUGCAAGGAAAUAUGAUAAGUCUUGCUGUAAUUGCUAUUCGUACAGGGAAUCUGUAAACUAUUUAUUGUAUUUCAAGCAGAGAUUCCCAGGUUAGUACAUGUAAAUCCAGGAACCCCUGCAAAAUUAAGCAAUUCAUGUGCCCCUUGACUUUUACAAAAUUGCAGGGGUUUCCUUGACGUCAGUACUUUUUCUAGUCUCACCCUAACAACAAAUCUGACAGUGUCUGAGAAGCAGCCCCAAGAAGCUCUGAUCUAAUAGUUGUAACAGAAACAAUAAAAUGCUUUAAGCAUUUGCUUAACUUCAAGCCCAUGAGUUGUGCAAUUAAUUCAGUAGAGCUAAUCUCCAGAUUAAAAUGAAUCUCAUGCCUAAAUGUCUUGCUGGAUCGAAUGAUACCAGAUUGGUAGGUUUAUGAUUUAGGUAUCUUUAAAACUUGCGGAGAUCAGAUCUCCUGAUUUAAGAAUUUGUGGUCCAGCUGAAAGUGGUGUUGGGCUUAGGUUUCUAUGACAGUUUGGGGCAGGAGAUCUCUCAGUAUUCACAGGUACUUUAUGUUGUCUAAACAUUGACUAAUUUCUGUUUAGUUAUCUAAAUUUUCCAAAUGCUCCUGUGUAUGACUCAUAGUCUUGUAGCUCAUAUUUAGUCAUUUUAUUUCUCUCAACAGAAGGCUAAAACCUAUAGUGCUAUAAACCAUAAUGCCUCAGGCAACUGCAAUAAGACUACUGCAGUUUACAUAUUUGAAGAUAUGGCUCCUGCUCGAUACUACUUUUUGAUGUCAGUGUUACCAUUUGUAGUACAACAUGUAAGUAAUGCAUGUAGAAAUAUACACUGCAUCUUCCACUUACAGAGCAGUCUCAAUUAAUUGAAAGGAGCCUAUUGCAGGUAAUAGGCACUACUGAACAGUGCACAUUGUCUUGCAGUAUCAGGCUUGUAAUCUGUAUUUUAAAGCUGAAAAAUAAGGCUUUUACUUUAAAGUAGGUAUUUUGGGGCUUAUCUCCAUAAAAACAAAUCUCUGCAUAGCUGUAAGAUUCCAAGGUGCAAUUUAAACCAACAUAAGGUAAUAAGUAGCAAAAAGUGGGUUUUUUAGGUAAAAACAAUCCUCUGGUGUUUUACCCAGCACCAUUCCAAGCAGUGGUCUGAAAUUUACUGUCAGGUCAAUAUUCAAAAGAUGAGUGAUUCAUUUGCACUAUGGGUUGCUUUGUUUCCUAUUGAAUAGGUAAAGGUGUAGAACACUGAACAUCUGUGAUACAGAAAUAUCUGUACUGGAAAAGUGCUGCUUUUUUAAUUACCACAUUAAAAUAUUGAACACUCAGUACGCUGUAGGCAAUUUCUACUUCUUUCUGAUUAGCUUAUGGGAAUACAUUAUUUACAUUUGACAUGACAAUUUAGUUUUUAAGAAAUGUGCAGUAUGGCAACAAUGAAUAAAAAUCUGUUUCAGUCUUUUGGGAUAAAGGGUUUUAUUAUUAUCCUAAACAAUAGAAUGUCAGUUAAAAACAUACUAGAUUUUUUCCAAUAGUAAUCUCAUUUGAAUGUUUUGAUUUAUCAAAGCAUUUAAUGUUUACUUAAAAAACACAUUUCUGCUCCCCAGAGAAGUUCAUAAUUCACUCAGUAAAGAUUGAGCAUCAGAAAAAAUGUAUUCAAAUAACGGAGUAAAAUUCAGGAGAAACUGUUCUGGUUUUGCUUUGGUAGAUAUGCAGGUUAUUGAACAUUAGUGAUAUGCAUUUUAUGCAUGUUACACAUUUCCUUUUAUGGUCAUCUGAACAGUGUACUUUCUUUUAUUCAAAGUAUAGCAUUCAAAAAUACUGCUGCUGUGUAUUGUAAUAUUAAAAUCUUAGAUAUUUCAACUAAACAGAGGAAUUACAACUCUGAAAGACCAUAAUUCUUUUCACCAGUGAAACUACAUGUGACCAAAAUUGGAGUUAGGGUGUUUUCUUAAUAGUUAAUUUGAUAAAAUCCAGGUAAUUUAUGUAUGACUUAAGCUUUGGCUGACUGGAAAAUGGCAUUGUUCAUUAAUGAAUAGCAAACCUACACAACAGCUUAGAACAGGAACUGAAGAAUUCUCUACCUGUAUGAAAUUACAGAGGGAAUUUAGAGAGCUAAAAUGCAAUUAUUAGAACUGGAACAUAGCCAAGAUCCUUGGGUUAACUUCCCUGUUCUUAUUAGAAGCUACAUAUUAGAUCCUAUUUCUUGUCUAUCUUUGCUGUACAUUUGAUGUUUUUUCUUAGAAAAAUCUGAUUUUUUUUAAUUAAUUUUUUUUUGCCCCAUUAAAGUGAAUUCCAGUUUUAGUGGCUGGACAGAAGUGUUUCAGAACUUGUGGGUAUGCUUGGUCUUCAGCAGUUAAGUAAAAUGUAUUUAAACAGUGGUGCCGGUUUAAAAAUGGUAUCACUGAGAAGUUUCCAGGGCUCUGGUAGAGAGGCUGAAAGGAGUAGAUAUGGUCAGGACUUACAUAGUUUUAUAUUGCCUGUAAAAACAUAGCAUGAAGUCCUCAGCCAGUCAGGUCUUUGGUAAAACUCUCACUGAGCUUGGUGAAGGGAAGGUUUCAGCAUGACUCCGUCAGUGCUUUCCAUUUUAUCACCAAUCUUGUAGUACUUGGUAUUUUUAUUAUAUACUUAGCUCUGAGUCUUGGUUGUCACGAAACUCUCAACUUCAUUUUUAAAAGGUCUGUGCUAGGGCCAAAUCUACAAAAUAGUGUUGGCCCCAGAGUCAACUAAAUGGUUUGGUGCCCUGUGAAGAUGUGUUUGUGGAUUUUGAUUUUAGGUAACCACACCUUGCACCUUGCUUCCCCAUUAGUCUCUAAGUCCAUGCUUGCAAUUAGCUGAGCACUUGCACACCUAAAGCAGGAGGUGCUUCAGGUCCGCGUGUUGUUCUGGUCAUUGUAUACACUCUCUGUCUGCUUGUAGUUUUGCCCUAGAUGCACCAAGCCAUACCUCUGUAAUGGCAGAUCUAGACGAGAUGACAUUCAUUCUCCACCUAAACCUGGAAGUUUCUAAAGUAACUGGACCUGUAAAUUACCAAGAGAAGCAAUAUUUAGGAUAUUUUGGGCAUUUCCCACUAGAUUUUUUUUUAGAAAGCUUUUUCAUACUGGCUAUUGUGAACAUUGUCAUGGCCAAAACACAUCUCUACUUGUAGGCACAGAAACAGCCACCUUACCAAGCCAGAACUAGAAAUAUAAGGGAACACAGUACAAAUUCAGCUCUGGUAGUGCUUCAGAUGAGUCGAGUACUGUUACAGUUAGGGAUUGGUGUGAACUCAGCAUCUCAGACUCAUGCUCCCUUCCUCUAACCCUCUUCAUGUGCUAGAGACUAUUAAACAGAUCCAGAGCUGUGCAUCUACUAAGGUGUCUGCAUUUUUUUUAUGGAUUAACCUUUGAUUCUCUAGUUGCAGAGAAGAAGUUUGCACACAACCUCUUGUGCAUUUAAACAAAGGCCAAAAAAAUCCUCAUUAUAUUUUAUGCAAGUAGAUAACUUUUUGGGCCCAAGUCAUGAUUUUUCGGUGCUCAGCUUGCAACGUAUGGAAGAUAUAUGUCUCUAUGAAACUGUUUCUUCUCUCUGAGCAGAAGGUAGACAUGUUCCAGUGCAAACUAUAUGAAUAUCAUCACCAGCAAGCAUCCCUAAAAAGUUUUCCAUCUUAGUACAAAAUAUCCUAGGAGAUUUGAUGGGGUCAGGAGAAAGUUGGUACAAUAUGUCUUGGGGCUGUAUGGUUAUUACAUCAAACUCUACUUUUGGCAUUUGUGGACACUAGGAGAUGUUGCAUCAUUUACUGUAAGUCCAUUAAAAAAUGAAAGUUCCUUCAUUUUGAUGCACUGUUUUGUAGCCCAGCCCUGAAGUAGAAAAGCACAAGUCUAUAUAAUAAUGUGUACCUCUAGCCACUAAUGAAAACCCAGAAUCUGUACGGGAAUUACAUUACAGGCUCAGUUCACUAGCCAAAAUUAGUUGCUUCCAUUUAAUCCAGUUAUGUAUAUAUGUAUUUUUCUCCACUAAUCACUAGACCGCUAAUUCUGAAUGUUUCUGUGAUAGCUGAGAGUAUCUCCCUGGAGUGCAAUCAGGUUCCUACCACUGAUAUGCAUAUCUGAAAGGUCAUGAAGUUUUUAGCUUUCCUGUAGUAAAUAGUUCAGUUUUAAUUGAUACACAUCUUAGCCAUAAGAACACUCGAGUUUUCUUGUUUAAAGAACAGACAAAAAUGAAGGACUGAAAACUGAAGAAAAAUAGAAGCACAGAUUUCUUUAUACCUUAUUUGAGUGAAUGUGUAUGGUUCUUUGAUCAUAUCAAAAGAAAACUGUUGAUGACAUGUGCUGAAAAAUAAAACAACAUAACAUAUGGCUGAAAGCAUAUCAGCAUAGUACUUCUGUUUUUACACCAAUUUCUACUGAUUUUUUGUGAAGCACAUUUACUAAUAUUUUACAAAAUAUAUUGCACUGUUCAGAUUUUUGCUAUUUGCAGUUAUGACAGCUUUGGAAAGAACUAAUUCUUUUAAGUAGCCUACUGUUGUCACACGAUUUUUUAAAGAACUUCUUUGACACUGACCUGCUUGCUGGAUUAAUUGCAGAAAGUACUAAUUACAAACCAACAUUUAUAAACUACAACGUAUGAGUUUUAAACAAGGUGUAUAUCCUAUACCAUAUUCCUAGGAAUGGCUGACUACAAAAGUACAAGAUAAUUCAGACACAGUGUUAUUCCUUUCUGUGCAAUCUUUAGAAAACUUUACGUGAUAAACACCAUAUGAUAAGGUGGGAUGGUUCACGCUUUGAUGCUGGAGGUACUAAUUCCUAUGGAAGUGAGAAGAAGUAGACUGUUAACAGUCACUGUGGUUAAGCACAUCUUUGCCCAUGCAAGUUGAAAGACAUAGUAGGAAUCUCCAAACUCUGUGUGAUGGUAGUCUGAUCUGUGACUCUUUGAAAGGCUAUAGGUUUUUUCACUUCUAUAUUGUUCUCCCUAGUCCAAAGAGCUUAACAAAUAGUAAAGUGCAGGGUGAAAACCACAAACAUGCCAUACUAACAGGCACUUUUUAGAAUCCAUCACCACACCAGCAGAAUCUCAAACACAUGUAGCUUUUAACAAGAGAAGCAAGUUUAGAUGAUGUUAAUUUGGCUUUACUGUUAACUUUAAACAAACUUAUCUAGUAUUAGUCUUUUAUACACUUAAGCAGAAGUGUUGAUCUAAAUAAAUUGUACAUAAUUAUCUGCAUUUAAAUUCUUAUUAGCAGUAAUAUUUAUUAUUAUGAAUUAUAUUCCAUAGAAGCACUCUUACAGAUUUCAGUCUUGAAUUUUGGAAUCAGUCUAAGUUUUUAACAAGUAAAUCUAAGUUUAUUUCCUCAAAAGAUCUUAAAACAUGGACGAGUGGUGUUGUUGCUAUUUGCCUAGCAGGGAACCAGCAGUAGCCAAAUGGAAUGACCUGCUUGUGGCAACAUGGGGAGCUAAUGGCAUAGCCUAGAAAAGAAAUGGAGCAUGCCAAAGAUCCAUAUCCUGUCCUGUGGACUCUGCUGCCUUUCAUUGUUAUAUUUUCCAUCUGUGCAAACUAAUUUUUUUUCUGAUUGUUGGGUUAAGUAGUAUUCAGGAGUUAUUAAAGAAGCAAGGAGAUUAAAAAGAGGGAGAGUUUAAAUUUCGUAAUGCUUGUUCUUGAAGGCUGUAUGUGGAGGAAACACAUCUAUUUCAUAGUCUGCAUUUUAAAAAGCCACUAUACAGUGACAGCUUGUACCUUUGUGCAAUGCAAGAAAACUAAUAAUUGAAAACCUCUGAAGGGCUCAUGUCAUGUUUUUAAUGUAUUCCUUUUCAGUGUUCUGAGUAGAAGUUUUGUUGUUGCUAUGGGUAGGGGAUAGAUUGAACUGAUUACAUACUGUGUUAUAAAUAAGUGUAUUUUGUUCCCUGAGAAAUGAUUCUUCCUUCAGUAAUAGGAAAAAUAAACAAAGGAAAAAGGGUACAUUUAAGGUUGCUGUCAAGUCUUAGCUCUUCCUAGAUUUUCAGAUUUCUGUUCUCAGCUGCAACAUUCUAUCUAUAUAAUAUUUUUCUUUUAGUUUUAAAUCCAGGUUUAAGAAGAGACUUCUCCAAGUUAACCUUCAGCUCUACAACUGCUGGAUAAGCCCUUUGUCUGCCGCAACUGCAAGGAAAGGUGGGAAAGAUGUGGCUUGAAUCUACAUUUGCACUGGCAGGAGCCAUAUUGGGUUUGGCAUAAACUGGAGACAUCUAAAACUCUUCCAUCAUUUCUGACUACCUGAGACUGUGGGAUCAUUCAUAACUGCAGGUCAGGUAUAAUAGGCCAUGCUCUGGAAAGAUACUUUAACAAACGGGGAAUCCUCAGCAAGCCAGCUAGAUUAGUUUUCCAGAUGGUUUGUACCAUUUAAACAGAGGCAAAAAAUGUCACACUCCAGGUGUGACAGCAGGAUUUUCAGAAAUGCACGGUUCUGCUUUGAAUAAACUUGCUUGGGGAACAAAUAGUAUUGCAGUACCUCUCUGGAGUUCAGCUCAUGCUGCAAACCAUGAGCAAACUAAUCCAGUUCAUGCCUUUAACCAGUUGAAAAUCACAUUGCUGCAGCUACACUGCCAUUGAGAUCAGAGUUAAUUUAAAUCCAGCUUAACCUUGUUGACCCAAAUUGCAGUCACAUCUUGUACUACAGUGUGGACUCAGCACUGGUCAUGUGAUAUCCCCUGUCUUUCAAAUUUUUAUUUUGCUAGGCCACUCCCAUCUUUUCAGUUGAAGUGAGUAAUUGAUCUUGUUAUCUAUUCUGCCACUAAGAGAUGCAUCACAACUCACAUGGUGGCUGGUAAUGCCCAUAUCAAUUUGUGUGACAACUUUACAGUUAAAUCUUAGCUGCAGUCAUCACUGAUUAUCAGGGGAAUUUCUUAGUAUCUUUCUCUUAUUCAGAAUUUGCAGCCUUCCUUGCUACAUAAACAGCUUGUUCAUGUUGCCAGUAAUGAUAGUAAGUAAGAGAAAGUUGAAUUUUUAUAGCCCCAUUAUCACAGUGUGGUUUUAAAGGUGCACAGCACCUCGAGAAAACAAAACAAAACAAAACCAAACCAGGAAAAACAUGGAGGGAUAUUUUAAAUCUAUAAUUUCUCCACUGAAAUACAGCCACAUAUAGCACAAGACAAAAUAUGAUAAUGAUUAGGCCACACAGAGCUGCAUUACAUGGCCAUCCAGGAGAGAAAAGGAAGCAGAGAGCAUCAUCAGGCAUACCACAAGUCUGGGUAGACCUCCCAAGUUGCACUUUAGCCAAUACCCAGUUGCAAUUUAGCCGUGACACUGAUGUUCACAAACAUCUCCUUGGAAAGUACUGUAUUUUAGUCACUAUUUUACUGACCACAAAUGCAUACAUGUUUUCUCUUAACUAAAGGGAAGUGCACCCAAUUGGACAAAGAAACUGCAUCACCAGCUAUACCAUUUCCUGCAGCAUUUCAGUUUCUAUGGAUAGCUCCUUAAAGGGUUAUGUAUAUCAAGGUGAAAAUGGUAGUUGCAUUGUUGCAUUACAAAGAGGUAAACUUAUGUAUCUGACCUCAUGUUAAUGUGUUCCUGGAUGAAGAUUCUUUGCUAUACAUUUGUCACAUAUACUCUCACAUAUACUCUGGUGAUGCAAAAUACAUCCAGUUUGGGCAUAAAAGGUAAAGAAAGAUUGUUCAAUAUUCACAGGGAGCAUGAAGCUAAAUACUUGUUUUUCAAUCAUUUAGGCAUUUCCUUCAUAGUAUUUUCCUCAGUGGAUCUUAUGUGGCAUUAAUAUGAUGCAUUCUCUGCCUGUGGUUUCCCUUUUUUGAAUGUUAUGUGUUUUCUUAUGUGCACUGCCAAAAUUGCCUCGUUCUAAUGCAGGAUCAUACUUUGCUUCCUCACUUGCCCGUUUGUCCACUUUGGGCUAAUGUUAGUAAACAUUCCUUAAAGACAAUCGCUUUUAAUCUUGUCAUAGAUGCCUGUGUUGUGAGGGUGAAAAUUAGUUAUUAGCUUAGCUUUUCAUCCAUGCAUAAUAAGAUGUUAAAAUCAGAGAUGUUUGCUUAGGGCCAUGAGAAGCAUCCUGCUCUGAGCUUACAAGUGCUGAAUUUAUAAAAUGCAACAUAUUUAAAAUAAACAAGCAGAAGGCAAAUGCCAGUUUAAAAUGAGAAAAAAUCUGUUUUGUGUGUAUUAGUCUUUAUGUAAGGAGUUUAAGGCAUCUUCUUGACUGCACCAAAGGAAGAAAAAUAUGCUCAGUCUUUGCUGAUUCUUAUCCCUCCCCCCACCCUUUUUAUAAUAGCUGAUCAAUGCAAAAAAACUAUGCCAUGCUCUUCUUACAGUGAGGGCUUUCCUCCUGAAUGGGUUUGUCAUCAGCUUGGUCCUUGCAGCGUUAAGCAUCCUCAGUCUUCAUGCUGCACCUUAUCAAACUAAGCCCUGGGAACAAACAAUACCAAGACAAAGUCAGCCUGGAAAAAAAACCAAAACAAACCACAAAUGAAACCUGUCCCUUGCAAAAUAGUGACAAGGCCUCUCUUUGCACUUGUGUUGCAAGGUAAAGCUGGUGUAAUUUAGAGAACAUACAACCUAAAGAGCCCACUCUUCCUUCUGCGAUGGAGCACCUGUGUGCAGGAUGGGGAGGCAGGAGCUCUCUCUGCAAAUACCCACAGAGCUGUGACAACCUCCCAUGUUCCUUCACUGUUAUCCACUGUAGUUCAAUCAGCCAGAGCAAAGGAUAUAGAGUAGGUGAUGGUUCCCUUGGGAAUGUCUACUUUAGAAUCAUGAUAUUUGGCAAUGAAAGCAAUCAGUGAAUUCAGGUACUUUCAGGAAGACUUCUCAGUGUUCUCUUUUGUAGUCCUGAGUACAUGCAUAAUAAAAAUGGCUACUGAAAAAAACACAGGUAGGCUCUAAAUGCAUGUAUAAUAUAAAAUGCAGAGUUGUACACCAGUCUGCUGGAUGACAGGCUUGAGUAUUUGGAUUGCCUACCAAGUGUUGAUGAAAAGCCACACAGAUUCUUAAUUCAGAAACUCCAAUUUUUCCUCUGUUCCUGUGUUCAUUUUCUUUAUCAGCAGGGGAUGACUUACACUUUCAAAACUGAUUAACAUUUUAAAACUGUGGAAGCACUUUGUGUGGCAUUUGAAAUAAUUUUAACCCUUUAGCUCUUUGCUGGAGCUCUUCUUGGUUUUUGUCUUUUCCCUUCUUUUUCUCUUAGGAUUACAGGUGGUGCCAGCACGUCAGCACUUCCAGAAAGUAAGUAUUUUGCACUACAUGGAAGGCACUGGAGACAUCAGUUACAUUAACUAAAUUUUGGCAGUACAAACAAGUGGAGGUUUACCAGCUUUCACCUUGUUGCCUAACCUAUUCACAUGGGUGAAGGAAACAGCCUUCCCCUAAGGCUUUGCGAAACCCAAUAGUUUCCUUAAUCCUUUCCACACCCUGUUUGUCCUCAGCAUAAUAUCUCUGAUAUGGCUGUUUAAAGUCAACAGGACUUACCCUUUUCAGCACAUUUUCCCCUCAAUCUCUAUUUUCUGUUAUGUCAUCACUCACAUGCUUGAACCCAUUGAAGUACAGGCAAAGCAGGGACUCACUACCCAAAGGUCCAUCUUCCAACUGUGCUUAGCUUUGCUCUCAGGCUGCCAAAGCCCAUUCUAAAGCAUGACUGAGGAAGACUAUUCACUUAAAAAGAAAUACAGUACUUGAAGGCAUUUUUCCAUAUCCACAGGCAAACGUGUAGCUGCAACGUACGUAGGAUCAUUUGCAGCCAAGGAAAACUGUUAAGUGAUGCCUACAGAUUUGUCUUUCAUCCACUCACAAGUGCUGCCACCUGUGAAUUAAAAAGGUCACUGUUCAAAUCCAGUAAUUGGGUUUAUAACAUGACUAAAGAUAUGUAGAAAGGAUCUAAUUCCAGUGUUGCUUGAGUAAGGACAAUCCCCACUGACCUUGGUGGAACUUGCAUUUGAGGACUCAUUUUGUCUCAUGACUCCAAACAUGAACGAGGACAUUACUCACCAGCUGCUGUUCUGCAGUGCUGUAAAUAUGAAUUUAUUUUGCUUCUUACUGUUUUUCAGCACACAUAAGUCCAGUAACAGGAAAGUUUUCCUACUCUUUUAUAGGUAAGAAUAAAGGACCAAAACUGCAUUUCAGUUUUUCUGUAAGAUAGUGUGAUAAAAAGCUGGGCACAGGUCUCUUUUCUAGGUUAUCAGUUUUAAGAAUUCAGAAAAGUUAUGCAUGGUCCGGUAGUCAAGGACAGGAAAGGAGAAAGGACAAGAAAGGCACAUUAUGUCUGCAUCUGAAGAUGAAGUAUCCAUUUCCCAACCUACAUGUCUUUUAACCUUUCCCUCUUUCACUUUCCAGCUCUGCUUUAGCUGACCUCACACCCCAACGCCCAUAUUUUCCCUCAGGAUUCCUUGCUUUGGAGAUUCCUGCUAGCCCUGUACCUGCAUGAAUUGAUGGGAAUGUUGGUUUUAGUAUGUACUUUUGUAACUUGUUUGGUAAUGGCCUGCCACCAUUCUUCAGCAUAUAUUAACCAAAAGAUACAGUAAACAUAAAUUCUUUAUAGUCAUGUGGAAAGAACAAAGAAAAAUGGAAAAUGCAAAACUCAUGGGAGAACUGAUCAGGGAUGUACUUAGUAUUCUCAAAAUUCACAUAUACUUUCUGGAAAUGUAAUUAUUUUGACAAUUAGUUUUAAAAAGAAAACCCUUUUGGCUUUACUCUUUUUCCCUGUAAGUAUAUACAGCACAUUACAUUUCAAUCAGUUUAUCUUUGUUUCAUUAAAUAAGAGCCAGCAGGAAUAAGAAGUAGAAAAUAAUGCUUGUAGCGUUGGAAAAGCUAGUGCUUAAAAAUCUUCCAAAAUAUGAAAACCUUAAGCAUUUCUCAAUAUACUAACUACUUACUAUUUUGUCUGAUAACUAGUAUUCUGAAAUAUUAGUCGCUUUGCUAAAAUUAGUAGCUUUUUUGGACAUCUGAUUAACAGGUGCAAGCAGCAAUUUUUCAGCUUUGUAGGCAGGUAAUUUACAGCUUAUUGCAGGGGAAAUAGAACAGGAGGAAAGAAAAGCAGGAAUGUUUCAUCUACAUUUCUUCCGUCUCUCUUUGAAAAGUUUCAUGUUAAUAUUCAGGAACAAUUUCCCUUUUCUAAUGUUCUUCCAGUAGUCAUAUUUUAGUUAAUUAUCUUGGUUGUCCAUUGUAAAUAAAAAGCAAGAAAUUGCCCGGUUCCCUUUGAUCAUGGUUCUGUUCUUUCCCCCAAUGGAAAUCACACAUGGAGAUUUUUCUUUUCCUUUCCUUCAGAGGCGAAAAGUGUUCCUCAUUAGGAAAAGCAGAUGCAUGCUAUCAUAGAGGGUUGAGGGUUAUAGUUCCUUUCAAGCAGUUUCCUUUCUCUCCGGGUUUAAUUCCCAAGCAUUGUCAGUGUUCUGAGUGUCCACGUAUACAGAAUACAGUGUCAUUGGAAGCUCAAGGCAAACAAUAUGUAAGAAUAAGAAACCAUAUUAAAAGCAUAAAAGCUAAUGAGGAUGUAGUGCAAAUACUCCUCAUAAUCAUUGCCCAGCUGACUUCCUCAGCGGAGUUAGACUGAAGUAGUUACAUCAGGAAAAACAGGAACCCUACAGGUGGAUGCCAGUAUUCUCCCUUCAUCGCUGCAUGAAAUAAUCAGGAAGAGAAAUGCAAAAAUCAACAAGAAUUCUUCCUACACCUUUUUGAUAAUUCUAAUGUAAUUGAAAGAAGGUAUGAACCCAUAUUCUUUUUCAUGCUUAUUCAUAUUUUGAAAGUUGGUUCUAAAGUACUUUUUCUCUUCAAAUUAAACACUUUUCCUGGGGACAUACAUAUCAAUUACCUUGUAAGUCUACAAAAGCCAACAGUACAAAUAUUGCAGACAUUCAAUAAACACAGGGCUGAAACAAUAUACUGCAAUUACUUGUCAUACAAGAUCUCGAAACAAGGGAAGAGUUAUACUCUAUUCAGGAAACAUUGUCUCAAAGUUUGCAUAUAUCCCCUUUUUUUUUUCCUUGUGAAGUUUUAAAGUUACAUACACACAUACACUUUCUUGGAGCCUUAUGAAACUGAAAUGUCAAGUGAGAGUUGCUUUAUAUCAUGUUCUGUCAAUCAAAGUAAGCAAGGCUUUAUGCAUCUGUUGCUAGUAUAUUGGCACUUUUUGAAGAGUGUUUCGGAGGGAGCGAGAAUAAAUAAAGAUCCUUCAGGCACUUUCUCAUUUAUGGAUGAGGUAUCAAAGCAGUCUGAAACUUCAUUUUCAGCCUGAUACCCUGAAGAUUGUUGGCUGAUAAUUCUGGAUGGAACAGCUUAUCUGGGAGGAUUAGGGAGAACAUGGGCUUCCUAUUACUGUUGGCUUCAGCCUAUUCAGCUGGGCAGACUCUGUCACACAUUAUCUGUGCCUUUACAUAUGUCACUAAUCUUAUCUAUAUCUUUUCAGCUCCUUCUGUUGGAGCUGUGGUUUCCUGGACCUAAACCUCCCAUUUCUUCAUUACACCAGCUGUAUAGGCAUUAGCCUUCUCUAGCAGCCUUUCUGCUCUGUGUCAUUCAGUAAUGGCUAGUAAUGCAAAGGUAUGAGAAGGUAAUGGUAGUGCUUUAUCUCAGAUCUUACAGGCCUCACAUCAAUAUAUUAAAUAUAUACCUCCCUUCCCUCCAGCAUCCUCCAUCCUCCCCCCACCAUUUUUGACCAAAUCCGCUUAACAAAAUAAAAUCACCUCAACAAUAGAGUAUCUCUGCAAUCAUUAAAAAUAACAGAAGCAGGCGACUUGGGGGCAGGUAUAUAUGCUGGAAGGGUCAAAGUAGUUUGUAACAAGCAGAAAAAAAAACAUCAGCACCAAAACUAAUCUGCAACUUCUGCCAUUCUCUCCUGGAUUGCUCAUUGGUGUUACACAUUUAUUGGUGUUGGUCACUAGGGCAAAGUAGCUCAGAAGGAAGAUUAAACCCCCUCAGAGUCCCUGCCCUUUUUAAAUUUUAGAGGAAAGCCCCUUCCCCACAUCUACUCCCCCAUACUUCCCUAGCUCCAGCUGGCUCCCUGCCCGCCGAGCUAAGCUGUAUCCUUUCUCUCCCAUUCUGCCUUUGCCUCUAAGCCUUCCUGCCACACUGCCACCCUGGUGUCUUCUUUCCUUCUUUUUCUGUUCUUACAUUCUGCCAUUUCUUCACCUCAUUCAGCCAUUUUCAACUUACCUCAUUCCCUGUUGCUGUCAUAAAAAUCACAAUAAAAGUUUUUGAAAGUGAAGAAAAUGGAAACAAUAAGACACCACUUUGCCCUUUUAUCUUCUCUCUAACUCUUUUACAUUGUUAGAUCUUUUGGGCAGGAGUCACUCUUGUGUCUUUUCGUUGUGCCUUGUACAAUAUUCAUCAGAAGAAAAAAGAAAAAUUAUCACUCAGUUUUAUCUUAAUGGCUUUUUUUGGGUACCACCAGAGUGCUAACUAGAAAAACGUGUCACAUUUCUAACUCAUAACUCACUCAGUGGUACUAUCUGGCACUUUAUUUGCAACUAGUAAUUCAGCCAGUUCUAGAUAUGAUUAAUUUUAAAUACAAUUUAAAUAAAAUCAAAGUAGGGAAAUUUUCCUUUCUGUUUUUACUGCCGUCAUGUUUUGUUUUACUUUAAAUUGCCAAGUUAUUAGGGAUCUGUAUCUUGUCUGUUCUCUCAAGGUUGAAACAAUAAGCUUUAUCUGAACCUGACAAACAUAAUUUCUCUCCUUCAUAAAUGAAUGACUUGAAUGUCACGGUUUCCCCACCCCACAACCACAAGCCCAGUCACGGCCAUGUCAUUUAACACAGACCCAUUUUUUAUUCUACGACAAGCAGAAGCAACAAGAAGUGUAGCCUGUAUCCAAAAGUUAUACAAAUGCUGCUGAAUUAUAUAGGCAAGACAGCCACAAAGAGUUGUGUUUGCUCCAGCAGUGCUGGCAACUGCAGGAAAUAAUGUUUUGCAGCAACAGAAGAUUUCCUCGACUACUUGCAGUCUUUCAGAGAUUUGGAAAAACUUCUCAUUGCGAACCCUGCAACUGUUGCUGUUUUUCAGCACACACAGGACAUUCAUGGUCACUCAAGGACAUAAAGAACUUAGUUUCAGAUGCUUCCAGGGAAAUUGUUUUCACUCUUCUAAUCUGGUUGAUUUUUUUCUUCUCUAGGCUCUUGUACAUGGUCUUUUUCAACAAGCACUGGGAUGAACCGAGCAUUUGGUAUAGAGUUCACUUUGGCCAUGGAGCUUGGCCAGCAUGCAGGUCACCAACUGAAAAGUAUAGACUUAAAGAGGGCAAGGCUAAUUCUCAACACUAGAGCAGAAUCCAAUGUUUCAUCAGGUGCACCUGAACCCCUUUAUGAUACAUACAGUAUGAAGAGACAUAUAAAGAACCUCUUAAAUACUUAAUUUAUAGUCAGCCCUUGUCUGAGUAUGUGUCAUUUAUGAAAGGAUAAUACGUGGCAUGUGGACUCAUCAUUAGCCCAAGGUAACAGAGGUUAUGACUUCUAAUUCUGUUCUCAGCCCUGCUACAGAGUUACUACAUGACCUUGCACAAAUCACUUAACCUUUAUGUGACUAAUUUUAUCCAUCUAUAAAAUCGGGAUAAUAAAAUCUUUAGCUACACA